rnacentral:rRNA from 1 species
AAGUCCAGGACAGCGGUGUGUGCUCCGGCAAGAGUUCUCUUUUCUUGUUAACAGUGUGGGUGGCCCCUGGAAUCGGAUCGACCGGCGAUAGGGGUCAGCCCGUAUGGGAAAGCGGCUUAAUCUUUGAGCCGUCCGGCACGCACGCAACGCUCCUUGAAAACUGGAUGGAGUGAUUUAUUCGCACCCCUGGUCGUACUCAUAACCGCAUCAGGUCUCCAAGGUGUGUAGCCUCUGGUCCAUAGAAUAAUGUAGAUAAGGGAAGUCGGCAAAUUAGAUCUGUAACUUCGGGAUAAGGAUUGGCUCUGAGGAUAAUUUUCGUGUGGGGUGGUUCCGGCGAUGACGGCCGAGCCAGUUGUGGUCUGCUUGCUUCGGCCUGCGGAUCGCUUCUCAGCGAAGCCUGAUUCUGUUCGGACCGCCACUCUGCACAUGUUUAUGGCAACAUAAUCACAAAUCAACUCUGAACUGGAGCAGACUAGGGGAAUCCGACUGUUUAAUUAAAACAAAG